ACAUCCAGAGAAUUUAGCAGAGAUGCUUUAGUGCCUUCGGGAACUCUGAGACAGGUGCUGCAUGGCUGUCGUCAGCUCGUGUUGUGAAAUGUUGGGUUAAGUCCCGCAACGAGCGCAACCCUUAUCCUUUGUUGCCAGCACGUAAUGGUGGGAACUCAAAGGAGACUGCCGGUGAUAAACCGGAGGAAGGUGGGGAUGACGUCAAGUCAUCAUGGCCCUUACGAGUAGGGCUACACACGUGCUACAAUGGCGCAUACAAAGAGAAGCGACCUCGCGAGAGCAAGCGGACCUCAUAAAGUGCGUCGUGGUCCGGAUUGGAGUCUGCAACUCGACUCCAUGAAGUCGGAAUCGCUAGUAAUCGUAAAUCAGAAUGUUACGGUGAAUACGUUCCCGGGCCUUGUACACACCGCCCGUCACACCAUGGGAGUGGGUUGCAAAAGAAGUAGAUAGCUUAACCUUCGGGAGGGCGUUUACCACUUUGUGAUUCAUGACUGGGGUGAAGUCGUAACAAGGUAAGCGUAGUGCU
rnacentral:rRNA from 1 species